ensembl:snoRNA SNORA70 Small nucleolar RNA SNORA70
CUGCAGCCAGUUAAGCCAAAUGGAUUUACUCCUGGGUGCCCAGCAUGCAAUGGCUGCAAACAGAAACCUUUUCAGGAGAGUACACAAUCUGUUUCUUUCUUUCUUUUUUUUUUUGGUACUGGGGAUUGAACU